AAGCACCAAAAAUCUCUCCUCUCUCCGAAAAGAGAACCCUAAGCGUCAACACGCAACAGCCCCACACUCUGCGAUCACUUCUCUAUUUUCCUCCACUUCGCACUAAACACAAAGGACGACCACAGACACCAUCCCCUCUGGCAUCUCUCGUCCCCCUCUCCUCCAUAAACACACACGCACACGCGCAUACGCACGUACCUCCUCCCCACACCCUCGCGCAUCAUCUCUGCCGGCGUGCGUUCUCUCCGUUAUGUUUUUUCGCUGUCCUCAUCUUCAGCGAGCACACGUGUCUUUCUCUCUCUGAUCGGCCUCCCUGAGCGGCACUUUGGCGUUUGUAUCGGUCGUCUUUUCGUGCGUGUGCGUGUGUGUUUGCAUCGCCGCGAUCGUUUUGGCGCGUUUACGCCGCCGUUCUUUUCCCCCCUCGCCCUCCGAGACAGACGCAGCCGUGAUUGAACGGGUAAACGUCAUCUUGCAGCAAUGUACGUCGCUCGCCAGCGCUGCGAGAAUCGUCGCAGCAAACAGCAUGCCCCUGAGGAUACCUUCCGGCGUCAACCGCCGCGGCGCAAACACUUCUACUCGUGGGUCGCCACGGAUAAGACACAGCUGCAGAAAACGGAGAAGCUGGUGCUGAAUGGGCUGCCGUACUAUCAGGCCAAGAUAGCCGGCCUCAACACCAUCUCUACCGACGACAUUCGCGAGUUGGACGACAAUGCUGUGAGUGUGGCCGACCCCAGCGGCAUCGCCAAAUCGAAAACUAUUCGCGACGGAGCUGCUGAGCAUCAGACCACCACACCUCUCGCGCCACUUCCUGCGCGGAAUGCCGCAGCAGAGGUGGAAAAGGAUGUCGUCGUUCUCAUUCACGGUUUCGCCGGUGGGGUGGCGGGUUGGGCGCAAAACUGGCGCUUCCUGUCGGAGCACUAUCGCGUGUACGCCUUCGAUCUUCCUGGGUUUGCUCGCAGCGAGCGUCGUGCCUCUACCGCGACGUCGCUGCCAGAGGCGAUGGACUACUUCCGCGACUACAUUCACCGCUGGUUCGCGCGGCUCGACCUGGGGCAGCCAGUCAUUGUUCUCGCUCACUCCUUCGGCUGCUUUGUCGCCGCGCAUUACGCCAUGCGCAACGGAGCCGAAUCCAUCAAACUUCUCCUGCUCGCAGAGCCGUGGGGCUUGGUGCGCGCUAACGCAAACCGGAUGAAGAAGUACCCGCUGCAGGCACGUGUGCUGCUGGCGCUCUUCUACAACAUUGGUCUUCUGGCGCUGCUGCGCGGGGUAGGGCCGGUGGGACCGUGGCUGCUGCGCCGCGUUCGCCCCGAUUUCGAGGAGAGGUGGUGCACCUUCCUUGGUGACCCUAGCCCCAUGUACGACUACCUCUACCACUGCAACGCGCAGCAUUCCCUUGUUGGAGAAAAACUCUUUAAGGCCUGUUGCCACUACGACGUAUGCGCGAAGGAGUCACUGCUAGAUGCGCUGCCAGGUACUCUCGACAAGCGCAUCGGCGUGGGCCUAUUGUUUGGUGGCAAGUCUUGGCUGAAUACGCCAGAGGGACCCGAGCUGGCAGCGCUGCUGCGUGAGAGAGGCGUUCGCGUCCGCAUCGAUACGCUGGCCAACGCCGGCCAUCAAAUCUUCAUGGAUGAUGUGGCGGGCUUCAACAAGAAGGUCGUCGAGAUGAUCACAGAGUUGUCCUCGGACUGCUGUUCAACGCUGUCGGUGUGACCAGGCAGCGGGAGGAGGGAUGCUGGCGGAUGUAGUUGUGCAACCUUUUUGUGUGUGUGUGUUGACAUUGAUGAGGAGGAGGCGUCUCUGAGUGAAGUGUUGGUGGGGGGUACACACGGUGACGAUUGCACUGCGUCCGUUGUGACGCUGACUUGGAACGCUGUCCACCUCUCGCACCCCACAAGCUGAUUUCUUGUUUUCCGGGUCAACGUUUGCGUUUCUGUCCUGCUGUGAUGAUUGCCUCCUUUGUGUGGCACUCAUCAUACACUCUCUCAAAGAGGUGGCAGGUCUUCUCUCCCUUCUCCGUCGCACAUAUACACGAGGCUGGCGUAAGGAAUGGAGCAGCCCCCCCCCCCCCCCCACGCACAAAUUGACACGCACAUACACGAAGGGGCACACCCCUCGCAUAUCAACUCGGGCGAACGCAUGGCGAUGCACAUGCACUCAAGCCUGAAGGGAAGCGAUGCGCGCCCACGCCUCUUCACACGUAUAUAUAUAUAUAUAUAUAUAUGCCUGCGCCUCUCCUUUUGCGCUUAAUUUUGACUAUUUUGGUUAUUACAUUACUAUUAUCAUUUAUUAUUUUCGUUGUAUGUCCGCUUAUCUUCCUCGGCUCUGCCGCCUGUUUGCUCGCCUGUGUUGUUUUACCUACACGUUAUACGCGGCCUGCCUGCCCCCUUCCCCCUUCUCCACUCCCUCGCAG
rnacentral:misc_RNA from 1 species